rnacentral:rRNA from 1 species
CUGCUUGACGCGUUCUUCUAUUUGGUUGCGUGUGCAAGUUCUCUUAGUUGAGUGCUGUACUCGACCGAAACGUUUACCUUGAAAAAAUUAGAGUGUUCAAAGCAGACCUGUUUGUGUCUGAAUAUUCGUGCAUGGAAUAAUGAAAUAUGAAUUCGGUUCUAUUUUGUUGGUUUUCGGAACUCGAGUUAAUGAUUAAGAGGGACAGACGGGGGUAUUAGUACUCUGCCGUUAGAGGUGAAAUUCUUGGAUCGGCGGAAGACUCGCAACUGCGAAAGCAUUUGCCAAGAAUGUUUUCUUUAAUCAAGAACGAUAGUCGGAGGUUCGAAGACGAUCAGAUACCGUCCUAGUUUCGACUGUAAACUAUGCCAGCUAACGAUCAGACAGCGUUCUCUACGACUUGUCUGGCAGUUUCCGGGAAACCAAAGCUUUUGGGUUCCGGGGGAAGUAUGGUUGCAAAGCUGAAACUUAAAGGAAUUGACGGAAGGGCACCACCAGGAGUGGAGCCUGCGGCUUAAUUUGACUCAACACGGGGAAACUCACCCGGCCCGGACACAGUGAGGAUUGACAGAUUGAGAGUUCUUUCUUGAUUCUGUGGGUGGUGGUGCAUGGCCGUUCUUAGUUGGUGGAGCGAUUUGUCUGGUUAAUUCCGAUAACGAACGAGACUCUGGCAUGUUAAAUAGUCGCGGAAGUAUUUUUGCUUACCGAUUUGACUUCUUAGAGGGACAAGUGAUUCUAGUCACACGAGAUUGAGCAAUAACAGGUCUGUGAUGCCCUUAGAUGUUCGGGGCCGCACGCGCGCUACAAUGAGUCGAUCAACGAGCGUUUUAUAUCCGAGGCCGAAAGGUCGAGGUAAUCCGUUGAACCCGACUCGUGCUAGGGAUAGGGAAUUGUAAUUUUUUCCCUUGAACGAGGAAUUCCCAGUAAGCGCAAGUCAUCAGCUUGCGUUGAUUACGUCCCUGCCCUUUG